AGGGUAGUAUUUUCCAAAGACUAGUUAUGCUGAUAUGGCAAAACAGUUAAAUAUUUAGCUGAUAUGGCAGUUAGUUAGAGUUGUUGGGGCUAAUAUCUUACAGUGUAAGAUAGCUAGUGGGCUAUAUAAAGUGUGUAAACUGAAGGGCUAAUAUCUUACAGUGUAAGAUAGCUAGUGGGCUAUAUAAAGUGUGUAAACUGUCAUUGCAAUUCAGUUAGUGAAAAUACACUGAAAUUCAUAGUCCUCUCUCUUUUUUUCUCUCUAAUUCUCUAUUCCUUCUUCUUCCAUUUCUGCACUUCUUUCUUUCUUUUUGUUGAUAAUUUCUUGAUGCUUGUAGUUCUGUUAUCAUGGUAUCACUCGCCCGUCGAUCUUCGGUGCCAAUUCCGCUGUGCAAUUCCUUUUGGUCGAUCGAAUGAUCUUUACUGGUUGAUUAAAGGUUUUCAUCGCUUAUGAUCAAGAUUGCAAUGUAUAUCAGGUUGUGUUUCUGAUUUUUCUGUGCACACCAACUAUUUGCUUGAAUGCUUCAGCAUCAAAUUUCUGUCAUUUGUAUUCAAGAUUAAAAGGUCGAUAACCAUUUUAUGAAAGAUUACAAGGCCAAUAGCCAAAAUUGUUAAAGUUGUAUAAGAAUUGUUAAAGGUUGUCAAAUUUUUACUUGAAAAAGGUCGAUAGCCAGAGAGUGAUUUCUUAAGAAAUUUGUAAUUGGGUUCUUGAUAUUCAAGAACAUAGUUUUGUGUGAAGAGCAAGUAUUGUGUGAUCAAAACUAGUUGCGAUUGUAUUCAAAUGAUAGAUUAUACUGUAAAGAUUGAAAGAUUACUUGGCAUGCUCAUAGUGCGAUUACAAGAUGAUAAUUUUGUUAAAUGGAGUUUUUAAUUUCAAUCGGUCCUUAAAGGUUAUGAUCUUUUUUAUCAUUUCACUAGAGAUGCUCCAUGUCCUCCAAAAUUUGUGAUCCAUACAAAGACAUGAGUUACAAAAGAGGUUAGAAUGGCUUUGAAACUGGUGAGAGUUCUAAUUCUCAAAUAAUCCUAAUAUGGUUAUGAAGGAGAGCAAUCACAUGGUUAUCAAUUUGGGUUUCAUGGUGGUUCUAGUUUCAUGGGGAAUGCAAGCAAGUCUUUUCACAAGCCUAAUUUCUCUGAAGGUAACAAGAAGAAUACUGGGAGCAAUAACAACAAUUCAAGACCUUUUUCGAGCAACUUUAGUAAUAGGAGUGGUAAUGGGAACACUAAUGGUAAUUUUUCUAGGAAUAGGAAGAGUCUACAGUCACAAAAUGGUAAUUUCUCUGGAAAUGGGUUCAGAAGGGUAACAAUUAGAAUGGUAAUACGAAUUAUAGGUCUGGUAUUUCACCUGAGUGUCAGAUAUGUUCUAGAAGAGGACACACUGCUGCCAAUUGCUAUCAUAGAACUGAUACUGGAAACACAAGGUUCAUCAUCUGUUAGAUUUGUGGAAAAAUUGGGCAUAUUGCUCUUGAAUGCUGCCAUCAAAAUAAUUUCACUUACCAGGGAAGUCGUCCACCACCAUUUCUAACUGCAAUGACUGCACAGGCUCACAUUGGUCAAGGUCCACCACAAUACAAUGGCCAUGACUUUUCUAAUGGUGAUGCAUGGAUCUUAGACACUGAUGCUACACACCAUAUGAUAGCAAAUGUCAAUGCCUUAUCUCAAGUCAAUCCUUACUAUAGAGAUGAGAAAAUUACAAUUGGAAAAGGAAAAGGCAACAAGAUGAUUUUGUACCCAGGAAAUAGUGAUUGUGGUGAACUUUUGAAGAUUCCAGUCAAUGUAUUUGCUAAUUCCUUUGUUGUAAGCUAGAGUAGAUGUGCUGCAUUCUUGGGUCAGAAAGUGAAGACUGCAGUGUGGCAUAAACGGCCAGGCCAUCCAUUUGAGGAAGUGUUGGUUUCAAUGCUGAAAAGUGCUGAUAUUCCAAUUAAUAAAGAUUCAUGUUAAACUAUAUGUUCCUCUUGUAUUAAAGGGAAGAUGUGUAGACAAGUGUUUCCAGUUAGAUGUAAUAGAGCCAGUUUUAUGUUUGAGAAAGUCCACUCUGAUGUA